CUUCUUCUUUCUUAUGUCAUUUCUAUUUUACUCUGUUCAUUCACCGUUUUGUGAAUUGCAUGGUUUGGCUCAGACACCGUUAAAUUGGUACCCAAAUCGAUGGGUUUUUGGAAACCAUCAAACACAACAACACAAAGCUAUGAGAAACUGGAUCUCUUUAUAAACUACAUGAAGCCAUUAUUUUUCCGGGUUUUUGCAGGUCAGUACAGUAAAAUACAAAAGUGGAGCAUUAAGAAGCAUGCAUGUUACGAAAACAAGAAAGCUUAUUGAAGAAACAUUACGGAAGCUGAAG